CCCCUGUAGGUGCUGAGCCCUCCCCGCGCUGCUAGUUGCCAGCUGCUCCAGGAGGCGUGUCAGGAAGUGCAGCAAGGACACCAGUGAGACGAGGCCUAAAACAGGGGACUCCGCCCCCAAGGGCAGAGGGAGACCGGCCAAGAAACCCAAACCCAAACCUGGUGAGCCAAUCGAGACCUGUUAUUCCUGUUAGGUCUGUUAUUCCUGUUGGGUCUGUAUUCCUGUUGGGUCUCUGUUUCCCUGUUGGGUCUGGAUCCCUGUUGGGUUGUUAUCCCUGUUGGGCUGUUAUCCCUGUUGGGUUGUUAUCUCGUUGUGGUCUGUUAUCCCUGUUGGGUCUGUUAUUCCUGUUGGGUCUGUUUAUCCCUGUUGGGUCUGUGGAUUAUGUUAUUCCUGUUAGGUCUGUGGAUUAUGUUAUCCCUGUUAGGUCUGUGGAUUAUGUUAUUCCUGUUAGGUCUGUUAUUCCUGUUAGUCUGUGGAUUAUGUUAUUCCUGUUAGGUCUGUGGAUUAUUUUACUUCCGUUUAGUCUGUGGAUUAUGUUAUUCCUGUUAGGUCUGUGGAUAUGUUAACCUGUUAGGUCUGUGACUUAUGUUAUUCCUGUUAGGUCUGUGGAUUAUGUUAUUCCGUUAGGUCUGUGGAUUAUGUUAUUUCGUUAGGUCUGUGAUUUAUGUUAUUCCUGUCUAGGUUCUGUUAUUCCGUUAGUCUGUUGGAUUAUGUAUUCCUGUUAGGUCUGUGGAUUAUGUUAUCCUGUUUGUCUGGGUUGUUAUUCCCGUUCAGGUCUGUGGAUACUGUUAUCCUGUUAGGUCUGUGGAUUAUGUUAUUCCUGUUAGGUCUGUUAUUUCCUGUUAUGAUCUGUGGAUUAUGUUAUUCCUGUUAGGUGUGUGAUUAUGUUAUCCCUGUUAGGUCUGUAUCCCGUUAGGUCUGUGGAUUAUGUUAUUUCCUGUUAGGUCUGUGGAUUAUGUUAUUCCUGUUAGGUCUGUGGAUUAUGUUAUUCCUGUUAGUCUGUAUUCUGUUAGGUCUGUGGCGUUAUGUUAUUCCUGUUAGGUCUGUUGGAUUAU
rnacentral:lncRNA from 1 species